UGAGGAAUAUUGGUCAAUGGGCGAGAGCCUGAACCAGCCAAGCCGCGUGAAGGAAGAAGGUGCUACGCAUUGUAAACUUCUUUUGUCAGGGGACAAAAAAGGGGAUGUAUCCCCUACUGAGUGUACCUGAAGAAAAAGCAUCGGCUAACUCCGUGCCAGCAGCCGCGGUAAUACGGAGGAUGCGAGCGUUAUCCGGAUUUAUUGGGUUUAAAGGGUGCGUAGGCGGCGAGUUAAGUCAGCGGUAAAAGCCCGGGGCUCAACCCCGGCGAGCCGUUGAAACUGGCUUGCUCGAGAGGUCGAGAGGUAUGCGGAAUGCGCGGUGUAGCGGUGAAAUGCAUAGAUAUCGCGCAGAACUCCGAUUGCGAAGGCAGCAUACCGGCGGCUAUCUGACGCUGAGGCACGAAAGCGUGGGUAUCGAACAGG
rnacentral:rRNA from 1 species